rnacentral:rRNA from 1 species
UACGGAGGGUGCAAGCGUUAUCCGGAUUCACUGGGUUUAAAGGGUGCGUAGGUGGGCUGGUAAGUCAGUGGUGAAAUCUCCGAGCUUAACUUGGAAACUGCCAUUGAUACUAUUAGUCUUGAAUAUUGUGGAGGUCAGCGGAAUAUGUCAUGUAGCGGUGAAAUGCUUAGAGAUGACAUAGAACACCAAUUGCGAAGGCAGCUGGCUACACAUAUAUUGACACUGAGGCUCGAAAGCGUGGGGAUCAAACAGG